GGAUCACAUGCAUUGAAGCAAUCUCAAGAUUCAGAAAUGAUCAAAAAAAUUGUACGUGGAGAAGAAAGAGACGAGAGUCAUGAAAGUAGGGUAAACGCGAAGAGACGAUGAAAAUCAAUCAGAGAGGAGAGGGAAGAAUGACAAUGGAAAUCAUAAAGCUCAGCGAGGAGCACAUUACUAUGAAUAAUAAUGGAGAGGGACAUUAAAGGGGAAAAUUGAGUAAAGAGAUAUAUAAAUAUAUUAGACUCUUCUACUUCAUUUUCUUGUUUAGAUUCAUUACUUCAAUGAUUGAACAUGGGCAGAUACCUAUAAGGACCCUGUUUCAUUGACCUUCGCCCUUUUGUAUCCCUCGUUAAGAUAUGUUAUCCAGACCAACUCCCACGUAGAAAAC
rnacentral:lncRNA from 1 species